rnacentral:rRNA from 1 species
UGAUACCCUAUUAUUAAUAAUGUAAAUUUGUCUUUGUAGUAUUGUUAGUUUUGAUCUUUAAAUUAAAAGGAUUUGACGGUAAUUUGAUCAUUCCAGAGGAACCUGUCCUGUAAUUGAUAAUCCACGAUAAAUUUUACCUUAAUUGUAUUGGUUUGUAUAUCUCUGUUUAUAUGAGUGUUUUAAUAGAAUAUUAUAUUCUCUUUCAUUAUUUAAUAUAAUUUAUAUCAGGUCAAGGUGCAGCUAUAUUAAGGGUUGAGAUGGGUUACAUUAAUUUGUUAAAUUAUGGAUUUUAUUUAUAAUUGAUGAAUUUCUUAAAUGAAAUUGGAUUUGGUAGUAAUAGUUAUUAUUUAU